ensembl:snRNA U6 U6 spliceosomal RNA
GUGCUUGCUUCGGCAGCACAUUCACUAAAAUUGGAACAAUACAGAGAAGAUUAGCCUGGCCCCUGCGCAAGGAUGACACACAAAUUCGUGAAGCGUUCUGUAUUUUU